CGCGUAGGCGGUCAUUUUAGUCAGGCGUGAAAUUCCCGGGCUUAACCUGGGGACUGCGCUUGAUACUGGGUGACUUGAGGGUGGAAGAGGGUCGUGGAAUUCCCAGUGUAGAGGUGAAAUUCGUAGAUAUUGGGAAGAACACCGGUGGCGAAGGCGGCGACCUGGUCCAUUACUGACGCUGAGGCGCGACAGCGUGGGGAGCAAACA
rnacentral:rRNA from 1 species